AUGCAGUACGGUCCACUGCCGUUGACAAGAUGCCCCGAUUGCCCGCGCAUGGAGCCUCUGAAGCGUUUGACUUGUGUGAGGGAAGAAAAUGGCAAUCGUGGGCGCGAGUUUGUGAAAUGCUUGAGCAAGCCACAGCCGGGGCAGGUUCUGAAGAAAUGUGGGCAUUUUGAGUGGCUCGAUGACUAUGUUGAAAAGUUGAAAUUGGAGGGAUCAACCGGAACCCAAGAGCUCAAUUUUGGGGGGGCGGCUUGCCGUGGAACAAGCCCCCAAUUUGGGGGACAGAGCCGAUCCGAUGAUGCACGGUGCAGAACUGAAGUGUGA
rnacentral:rRNA from 1 species